rnacentral:rRNA from 1 species
GGGAGAAGGAACUCGGCAAAUUGACACCGUAACUUCGGAAGAAGGUGUGCCCUAUUAGUGUGAAGUGAACAACGGAGCAUGAAUGGGUUGCAAAAAAUCGUUGGCUGCGACUGUUUAUUAAAAACACAGCACUCUGCAAACACGAAAGUGGACGUAUAGGGUGUGACGCCUGCCCGGUGCUGGAAGAUUAAAUGAUGGGGUGCAAGCUCUUGAUUGAAGUCCCAGUAAACGGCGGCCGUAACAAUAACGGUCCUAAGGUAGCGAAAUUCCUUGUCGGGUAAGUUUCCGACCUGCACGAAUGGCGUAACGAUGGCCACACUGUCUCCUCCUGAGACUCAGCGAAGUUGAAAUGUUUGUGAUGAUGCAAUCUCCCCGCGGAAAGACGGAAAGACCCCAUGAACCUUUACUGUAGCUUUGUAUUGGACUUUGAACGGAUCUGUGUAGGAUAGGUGGGAGGCUUUGAAGCAGGGUCGCUAGAUCUUGUGGAGCCAACGUUGAAAUACCACCCUGGUGUGUUUGAGGUUCUAACCUAGGUCCAUUAUCUGGAUCGGGGACAGUGCAUGGUAGGCAGUUUGACUGGGGCGGUCUCCUCCCAAAGCGUAACGGAGGAGUUCGAAGGUACGCUAGUUACGGUCGGACAUCGUGACGAUAGUGCAAUGGCAUAAGCGUGCUUAACUGCGAGACUGACAAGUCGAGCAGAUGCGAAAGCAGGACAUAGUGAUCCGGUGGUUCUGUAUGGAAGGGCCAUCGCUCAACGGAUAAAAGGUACUCUGGGGAUAACAGGCUGAUACCGCCCAAGAGUUCAUAUCGACGGCGGUGUUUGGCACCUCGAUGUCGGCUCAUCUCAUCCUGGGGCUGUAGCCGGUCCCAAGGGUAUGGCUGUUCGCCAUUUAAAGAGGUACGUGAGCUGGGUUUAAAACGUCGUGAGACAGUUUGGUCCCUAUCUUCCGUGGGCGCUGCAGAUUUGAGGAAGCCUGCUCCUAGUACGAGAGGACCGGAGUGGACACACCUCUGGUGUAUCGGUUGCCACGCCAGUGGCAUUGCCGAGUAGCUAAGUGUGGAAGAGAUAACCGCUGAAAGCAUCUAAGCGGGAAACUCGUUUCAAGAUGAGAUCUGCCGGGGCCUUGAGCCCCCUGAAGAGUCGUUCAAGACCAGGACGUUGAUAGGUCAGGUGUGGAAGCGCAGUAAUGCGUUAUGCUAACUGAUACUAAUUGCUCGUGCGGCUUGACCA